UAGGGAAUCUUCGGCAAUGGACGGAAGUCUGACCGAGCAACGCCGCGUGAGUGAAGAAGGUUUUCGGAUCGUAAAGCUCUGUUGUAAGUCAAGAACGUGUGUGAGAGUGGAAAGUUCACACAGUGACGGUAGCUUACCAGAAAGGGACGGCUAACUACGUGCCAGCAGCCGCGGUAAUACGUAGGUCCCGAGCGUUGUCCGGAUUUAUUGGGCGUAAAGGGAGCGCAGGCGGUCAGGAAAGUCUGGAGUAAAAGGCUAUGGCUCAACCAUAGUGUGCUCUGGAAACUGUCUGACUUGAGUGCAGAAGGGGAGAGUGGAAUUCCAUGUGUAGCGGUGAAAUGCGUAGAUAUAUGGAGGAACACCAGUGGCGAAAGCGGCUCUCUGGUCUGUCACUGACGCUGAGGCUCGAAAGCGUGGGUAGCGAACAGGAUUAGAUACCCUGGUAGUCCACGCCGUAAACGAUGAGUGCUAGGUGUUAGGCCCUUUCCGGGGCUUAGUGCCGGAGCUAACGCAAUAAGCACUCCGCCUGGGGAGUACGACCGCAAGGUUG
rnacentral:rRNA from 1 species